rnacentral:misc_RNA from 1 species
UCUUAUGGGCAUGCGCGCGCAC